AUUGAACGCUGGCGGCAGGCCUAACACAUGCAAGUCGAGCGGAUGAAGGGAGCUUGCUCCUGGAUUCAGCGGCGGACGGGUGAGUAAUGCCUAGGAAUCUGCCUGGUCGUGGGGGAUAACGUCCGGAAACGGGCGCUAAUACCGCAUACGUCCUGAGGGAGAAAGUGGGGGAUCUUCGGACCUCACGCUAUUAGAUGAGCCUAGGUCGGAUUAGCUAGUUGGUGGGGUAAAGGCCUACCAAGGCGACGAUCCGUAACUGGUCUGAGAGGAUGAUCAGUCACACUGGAACUGAGACACGGUCCAGACUCCUACGGGAGGCAGCAGUGGGGAAUAUUGGACAAUGGGCGAAAGCCUGAUCCAGCCAUGCCGCGUGUGUGAAGAAGGUCUUCGGAUUGUAAAGCACUUUAAGUUGGGAGGAAGGGCAGUAAGUUAAUACCUUGCUGUUUUGACGUUACCAACAGAAUAAGCACCGGCUAACUUCGUG
rnacentral:rRNA from 1 species